rnacentral:rRNA from 1 species
CCUACGGGAGGCAGCAGUAGGGAAUCUUCCACAAUGGGCGAAAGCCUGAUGGAGCAAAGCCGCGUGGGUGAAGAAGGUCUUCGGAUCGUAAAACCCUGUUGUUAGAGAAGAAAGUGCGUGAGAGUAACUGUUCACGUUUCGACGGUAUCUAACCAGAAAGCCACGGCGAACUACGUGCCAGCAGCCGCGGUAAUACGUAGGUGGCAAGCGUUAUCCGGAUUUAUUGGGCGUAAAGGGAACGCAGGCGGUCUUUUAAGUCUGCUGUGAAAGCCUUCGGCUUAACCGGAGUAGUGCAUUGGAAACUGGGAGACUGGAGUGCAGAAGAGGAGAGUGGAACUCCAUGUGUAGCGGUGAAAUGCGUAGAUAUAUGGAAGAACACCAGUGGCGAAAGCGGCUCUCUGGUCUGUAACUGACGCUGAGGUUCGAAAGCGUGGGUAGCAAACAGGAUUAGAUACCCUAGUAGUC